CAGACUCCGUGUGAAGCCACCUCCAUCCAUCCGGGAGGUAUUUCUCCUCUCUGACAAUGAGAGCCCUGAGCCCCUGGGGAGGAAGGAAGAAGAUGAGUCCAGGCCUGCAAAGCUGAGCCAAAUAUGCCUCCAGAGCCGCUGGGAAUUCAGGUGUGUGCCACCGCGCCCUGCAGUUGUUUCCUUGUUUCUGAGCCUCACUGUCCUCCUCUGUAAAGAGAAGGUGAGGGCAGGCUGCUAUGGUUGGAACAUGUUCCCCAGAGUUCAUGUGGUGGGAAUUAAUCCCCGUUUAACAGUGCUGACAGGUGGGUCUCUCCUGAGGUGGCCAGGCCCUGAGAACUCCCUCAGGAAUGGACCGAAGGCUUCACCGUGUGAUGGUCUCCUUAUUGCAGAAGUAAAAGGCCCUCAUAGAGGCUGGUUCAGCCCUACCCACUCUUGCAUGGGAUGUCUUCCACCAUGUUGUGCUGCAGCAAGAGGACCCUCACCGGACGUGGCCCCUUGAUCUUGGACUUCCCAGCCUGCGGAGUGCUGAGCCAAAUAAAUGUCUAUUGCUUAGAAAUUA